AGGGAUUUGUUUGGUUAAUUCCGUUAACGAAGUAGACCACGGCCUACUAAAUAGGACAGGCUAUGGUAACAUAGUCUGGGCCUUCUUAGAGGGACAUUUCGGGUUUACCGGAAGGAAGUUCGUGGCAAUAACAGGUCUGUGAUGACCUUAGAUGUUCUGGGCCGCACGCGCGCUACACUGAUCGUUUCAACGAGUUUUCAUUCUUUGGAGUGGAGUCCUUGACCGGAAGGUCUGGGUAAUCUGAAAAGGCGAUCGUGAUGGGGCUAGAUUUUUGCAAUUCUUAAUCUCCAACGAGGAACC
rnacentral:rRNA from 1 species